rnacentral:rRNA from 1 species
ACUGGAUGAGGGGCCUGCGUAGCAUCAGCUAGUUGGUGGGGGUAAUGGCCUACCAAGGCGAAGACGCUUAGCUGGUCUGAGAGGAUGAUCAGCCACACUGGGACUGAGACACGGCCCAGACUCCUACGGGAGGCAGCAGUGGGGAAUAUUGGACAAUGGGCGCAAGCCUGAUCCAGCCACGCCGCGUGAGUGAUGAAGGCCUUCGGGUCGUAAAGCUCUGUGGGGAGGGACGAACGGCGCCAUGAAGAGUGGCGAUUGACGGUACCUCCUUAGCAAGCACCGGCUAACUUCGUGCCAGCAGCCGCGGUAAUACGAAGGGUGCAAACGUUGCUCGGAAUCAUUGGGCGUAAAGCGCACGUAGGCGGCUUUCUAAGUCGGAUGUGAAAUCCCUCGGCUUAACCGAGGACGUGCAUCCGAAACUGGGAGGCUUGAGUAUGGAAGAGGGUCGCAGAAUUCCCGGUGUAGAGGUGAAAUUCGUAGAUAUCGGGA